AGGUACCUGGGCACCCAAAAUAUACCAGGUUUGGAAGAAACUGCAGCAAAGAAUGGGACUGAGUGGGUGUGGAAAAUCCUUCCUGCAGACUCACCUCACAGAAAUGGAGCUGCUGAAGCUGCUGUUGCCAUUGUGAAAAGAGCUUUCCAGAGUCUUGGUCAAGAAUUUCCACUAACAUUCAGUGAAUUUCACACAACUCUUUGUAAUGCUGCCAAUCUUGCAAAUGAGCGCCCGAUUGAUGCCAGAAUACAGAGUCGAGAGGAUUGUAUUCAGUACAUCACACCAACAGUCUUUUGCUCGGACGAGCAUCUCAGAGUGGUGAUGUGAAAAUGUUUAAUUUUUCCAGCUAUUCAUUCAAACGACUUGGAGCUAUGCAAAAUGAGGUUACUAAGUUCUGGAAAAGUUGGAGGCAGCUGGCUGGUCCCAACCUUUUUGUGAGGAGCAAGUGGCACACUUCCCAGAGAAAUGUUGCUAUUGGGGACAUUGUCUGGUUGUGUGAUCAAAAUGCACUUAGAGGACAGUUUAUGCUGGGCAGAGUUGUAAGUGCUAAUCCCGACAAGAAGGGUGUUGUGAGAGACGUAAAUGUCCAGGUUGUCCCAAGCUAUUGCACUCCUAUAACAAACCAUGUCAAGCAAAGAUCAGCUCAUCCACUAAAGACAGACACAAUUAAGACCACCAUUCUUCACAGGGAUGUUAGGAGGCUCAUCGUCUUAAUACCUGUAGAGGAACAAACGGAAAGUCAAACCAGAAAGGAAUAAAACUCCAGAUGUACCAAAUACAAUAGCAGAACUGCGAUCUUCCCAGUGGUUCAUGGAAAGAUCGAUUGGGAGGUGUGAAGUCAAAUCAGAAAAAAAAAAAAAGACAUGCGCUCACUAUGUUCCACACGGACCUAAAAGAGGGACGGACAAUGAAAGAAAAAAAGCGGAAAAGAAAGCCAAACAGAGAGGACUGGAGUUUGGGGACGCUUCAUCAGAAAUCCCGGAAUUUGUGCAGAUCUGGACAAAUCUGUAAACGAGCGGAGAGGCAGCCGGUUUUUACCUGCUUUGGACCAUUCAUGGAAUAUCAUGACACACAUUUAAUAAAUGGAGGAUAAAAAAUGAAGAAAACUGCUUGGUCCUUUGAGUAAAAUCCCUGUUAAUAAGAGUUUACAUCGUUCUGUCCAUCCCUUCUCAAGUGGGGAAGCUGCAUACAUUAGAAAAUAACUUGACACAGAAUA